rnacentral:rRNA from 1 species
GUGGGGAAUAUUGGACAAUGGGGGCAACCCUGAUCCAGCCAUGCCGCGUGAGUGAUGAAGGCCUUCGGGUUGUAAAGCUCUUUUGGCGGGGACGAUGAUGACGGUACCCGCAGAAUAAGCCCCGGCUAACUUCGUGCCAGCAGCCGCGGUAAUACGAAGGGGGCUAGCGUUGUUCGGAAUUACUGGGCGUAAAGGGCGCGUAGGCGGAUUGGCAAGUUGGAUGUGAAAGCCCAGGGCUCAACCCUGGAAUUGCAUUCAAGACUGCCUUUCUUGAAUUCGGUAGAGGUUGGUGGAAUUCCCAGUGUAGAGGUGAAAUUCGUAGAGAUUGGGAAGAACACCCGUGGCGAAGGCGGCCAACUGGACCGACAUUGACGCUGAGGCGCGAAAGCGUGGGGAGCAAACAGGAUUAGAUACCCCUGUAGUCC